AGCAGGAGCCGUCGGCCCUCUACCCAGGUGGCUCGGGACACCCCGGGGGAGGCACAGGGCCCCUCCGUUAGGGGCGAUUUGUGCGAUGGUCGGUUUGGCUUUUUGCACAUCCCCCUAAGCAACGCUUGAGGGUUUGGCCAGCUGGGGGGGAGCCCAACAUCUGCCCACGUUCACUCUCUACUUGUAGUAAAAGGAAGGCUUCCACACCUGUGGCUCGAUCCCCGCGUUCCUGGUGGAGUAGGAGGGUCGAGGAGCCUGGAAGCCAGCCUUGGCUCGAGGGGAGCGCCCGUGGCACGGCGAUGCCAGCAGCAGCUCUGCACCAUCACCUCCGGCACCGUUGUGGCUGGGCUGCGGCUUUGGCUUCGGCUUCAACAUGGGGGACUUGAGGCAGGAGGACCACGCUGGGGCAUCGUCGGGCACCGGGAGGGGCUGUGCAGCCCUGGAUGCGCUGGCAGGAACAAAGUUGGCAGCUUCGGCCCCUAAAGCAAAGGGCUCAUCCUCAGCACCAGCAUCCCCGUGCUCCUUCUGCUUCUUCCUGAUGUCUGCACUCUGCACCAAAUCCAGCAGGUCGGGGUUGGGGCCCAACUUGGGCUUCUCAACAAAGGUGAACAUGGAUUUCUUGUGGCCCCUACGUGCCGCCGACUCCUCCAGGAUGCCUGUUUUGGGCAAGGGGACCACUGCUGCCAGCCCAUAGCUGGGGCCUGGCAGUGCCUUCUGCUCCCCAGGGGGGUACAGGGCCGAGUAGGUGGGGGGUGAGCGGACCCUGCUGAGUGGGGGUGGGCUGCCCAGUGUCUCUGCAUAGGUGGGUGGUGGGGGCUCAGCACUGGGGACUGGCUCCAUGGGCUGGCUCAGCCCGGGGGGUGUCUGGGUGCCGAAUGGCCGCGCUGUGCGGUUCUUCACUGGUUUGGGUUUGGCCAGGGUGAGGUGGACCUCAUAGUACUGCCUGCUCUGAGCCCCGCUCUGUGCCUGCGUGGCUGGGGGAGCUGCCCCUGGGGGUGUGCUGGCCGUCACUGUGGGUGUGUUGGAUGUCGCUAUGGGUGCACUGGAUGUCACCAUGGGAGGACUUGCCAUCCCCAUGGCUGCAUUGGCCAUCCCCAUUGGUAUGUUGGCUGCCACUAUGGGUGUGCUGGCUGUCCCCAUUGGCACACUGGUUGUCACUAUAUGUGUGCUGGCCGUCCCUACAGGCAUGCUGGCUGUCCCAGUGGGGGUACUGGCUGUCACCAUGGGUGUGCUGGCUGUCCCUGUGGUUAUGUUGGCUGACACCAUGGGUGCACUGGCUGUCACUGUGGUUAUGUUGGGUGCACUGGCUGUCCCCAUGGCUGUGUUGGCCAUUGCCACACCAGUAGGUGCACUGGCUGUCACCAGGGGUGCACUGGCUGUCACCACAGGUGUAUUAGCCAUCCCUAUGGGCGUGCUAGCUCUCCUCACGGUCAUGUUGGCUGUCACUGUGGGCACGGUGGCUGUCCCCAUGGGUACACUGUCUGUCCCUAGAGGUGUGCCAGCUGUCCCCAUGGCCAUGCUGGCUGUCCCUGUAGGCAUGCUGGCUGUCCCUAAGGAUGUGCUGGCUGUCCCCAUGGGUGCACUGGCUGUCACUGUGGGCACACUGGGCACCUCACCAUUCUUCUGCUUAGGAAUGCACACGUUCUCUGGUGGGGCAGGAGUGGCCACUCUUGUCCCCAAGCUGUCCUGCGUCCCUUGGACCCCUCCCACUUCGCUCUCCACAUUCUCCUUGUGCACACCAUUGGCAGCAGCCAGUGCCAUGUUCUCCUUCAGGUAGAUACUCAAUGGGACUUGCUGAGCCUCAGCAGGGGACUCUCGCAGAGACGCCACAUUCUCUUGCUCCCCCAUCGUUCCCCGGCUGCUGUGCCCCUCGCCCGUCUCCAUGUCACCUCCCUGUGUCCCCAGGCUCAUUGGCAGCCCUGUGCCAUGCCCUGUGCCAGUCCCAGUGAGCCCGUCGACGCGCUGCCUGCGGCGGUGGAAGAGCAGCACGCCCUUGGAGCUGGGGCUGGGUGCCGUGGUGAGCUGUGCCACGAUCCUGCGGCUCCGCGCCUUCGCCUCUUUCAGCUCCUUCUCAGAGAGGCUGGAGCUGCGGGAGAGACCUGGGUGAGAAGAGAGGAGAGGAGCAGGGGGUUAGCAGGGCUCGGCCCUCCUUAAAGUGCCCCCAGCACCCCGAGCCCAAGGAUGCCUCCUCUCCAGCCCAGCCUUGUUGCAUCCGGGUGUGCAUCUGAGUAACCCCUGAGGCCCAGAAGACAGUCACCUUGGGGCAGAUAUGACCAUUCCUCCCACCCAGCAGGGCUGAGGGGAGCGUCCCUGCAUCUCACAACCCAGGACAGUUUAUCUCCCCAGGCUCUGCGCGCUGAUCCCAGUGACCGUAUGGGAAAGGAAUUUCUCAAAAGGCUUCAGGAGGUUUCAGGUUGCGGCUCAAAGGAUUUUCAGCCCCUGGCUCAAACACACGUGGGGACCUGUGUGUAUGAACCCGGCACGUAUGUGAGCAGCAACACGAGAUGGCAGCAGCCGACAGGAGCUGGGCAGGAUCCCGACCCGACACUCAGCCCGCAGCAACGCGCCAACCCCAUUCCUUCACAGCCUAUAAAAGCACUAAAAGCGGCCGGCUGUGCGUCUGCUAACUGCUCUGAAAGCCCUCCGAGCACCGCUGGGCUCCUCCAGCUCUGGCCAAAAGGUCAGGGCCAAAGCUUUUCCCAAACACCGAAAGGAUGUGGAGCUGCCGGGAACACAUUUUCUUGGGGUGAGCCAUUUCCUAUGAGCGUGCACUGAAACACCCAUGGCCACUGGGAAGGGCAGUGCCACCAAACAGCCCCCAGCGCCUUUCCUCACUAUGGGGUCCAUGCUCCAUGCCCAGGAACGCUGCCAUGAGGGCCCCAUCCACACCCGGACGGAGGUGGGUGGCCGAUCCCAGCUCCUCCGGGCGCAGGCAGGGUCCACUCCCCUUCCCUUCAUGUGUUUUUCAUUUUCUUGCCUUCUGUGCUGCUUGGGAUCCUUCCAGGAUAUUUUAAGCGUUGGUUCAGCCUACCAGCGAAGGAAGGGAUGAAUGACUAAGCCAAAUCAUUCCAGAGAGCUCGUGGUGGGGCGAGAAAGCUGCUGCGAGCUGGGCAUCCCCUCCCCAUCACCAUCCAUCCCAUCCGUUCCAUCCCCUGUAGUCACAUCUGUAGGAUGUUUGCAGCCAUCUGAACUGCUCAUCCCUCAGCCAGCACAGAGGAACCGACCGGAGAGGAGGAGGAGAACAGACAGACCAAGCUUUAGGGCAGCCCAGCAGUGGGAUUUAGCUGUGCCAAGAGGAGAAAAAGGCCGAAAUACCAUUGCAAACCC